CGAUGGCGACCGGCGCACGGGUGAGUAACACGUAUCCAACCUGCCGUCUACUCUUGGACAGCCUUCUGAAAGGAAGAUUAAUACAAGAUGGCAUCAUGAGUCCGCAUGUUCACAUGAUUAAAGGUAUUCCGGUAGACGAUGGGGAUGCGUUCCAUUAGAUAGUAGGCGGGGUAACGGCCCACCUAGUCUUCGAUGGAUAGGGGUUCUGAGAGGAAGGUCCCCCACAUUGGAACUGAGACACGGUCCAAACUCCUACGGGAGGCAGCAGUGAGGAAUAUUGGUCAAUGGGCGCAGGCCUGAACCAGCCAAGUAGCGUGAAGGAUGACUGCCCUAUGGGUUGUAAACUUCUUUUAUAAAGGAAUAAAGUCGGGUAUGUAUACCCGUUUGCAUGUACUUUAUGAAUAAGGAUCGGCUAACUCCGUGCCAGCAGCCGCGGUAAUACGGAGGAUCCGAGCGUUAUCCGGAUUUAUUGGGUUUAAAGGGAGCGUAGAUGGAUGUUUAAGUCAGUUGUGAAAGUUUGCGGCUCAACCGUAAAAUUGCAGUUGAUACUGGAUAUCUUGAGUGCAGUUGAGGCAGGCGGAAUUCGUGGUGUAGCGGUGAAAUGCUUAGAUAUCACGAAGAACUCCGAUUGCGAA
rnacentral:rRNA from 1 species